rnacentral:rRNA from 1 species
AUUGAACGCUGGCGGCAUGCCUUACACAUGCAAGUCGAACGGCAGCACGGGUGCUUUCUCCUGGUGGCGAGUGGCGAACGGGUGAGUAAUACAUCGGAACAUGUCCUGUAGUGGUGGAUAGCCCGGCGAAAGCCGGGUUAAUACCGCAUACGAUCUACGGAUGACAGCGGGGGACCUGCGGGCCUUGCGCGAUUGGGUUGGCCGAUGGCUGAUUAGCUAGUUGGUGGGGUAAAGGCCUACCAAGGCGACGAUCAGUAGCUGGUCUGAGAGGACGACCAGCGACACUGGGACUGAGACACGGCCCAGACUCCUACGGGAGGCAGCAGUGGGGAAUUUUGGACAAUGGGCGAAAGCAUGAUCCAGCAAUGCCGCGUGUGUGAAGAAGGCCUUCGGGUUGUAAAGCACUUUUGUCCGGAAAGAAAUCCUUGGGCCUAAUACGGUCGGGGGAUGACGGUACCGGAAGAAUAAGCACCGGCUAACUACGUG